rnacentral:lncRNA from 1 species
UUUAGGCACAAUAAGUUUCUAGAUUUUGCUCCCUCUCUCUUAUACAACCUUUGGCAAUUUAUUUGAAAGGCUUCUCUCUCCAGUCGCCUUGUGUGGGUUUUUUCCCUUUUUGUCCACAACAUUGAGCUUGGUCUUCUUGUUUUCUUAUCGGCGGCCCUGAUUUUCUGACUAGUUGGUAUCGACGCUUCUUUGAUUCCUCGUUGGCCGGUGUUUA